rnacentral:lncRNA from 1 species
GAUGGCGCUCGUCUGGGCACUCCCCAGGAGAAAAGGUGCAUCGGGAAGCAGCCUGGCUUGUGGAUGGUGGACAAGGUGGAGGAGAGAGAAUUCCUUGGCAGUAGCAUUAUGAACAAAUGCAGGGCUGAGAAACAGCAUGGUGGCCUUGACUAAGUUUAUGGCGACAGCAGGCGAUGCCUCUUCAUGGGUGGUGGAUGAAGAAACUGAACAGGGCCAUGAUCCUUAUCUGUAAUUUCCCGGCUACCACACUGCUUUGGUGGUCUUCCCUCGUCUCUUCCUGGGUAGAAACAACUACCUGGAGAUCCCAAUGUUCUUGUCAGUGCACUUUUCAUGGACUGCAGUGGUAAGACGAUGUGUUGGAUGCCCAAACACAAACCAAGAGCCCUCUACCUUCGCAAUUCCCGGUGCUGUGGAGCUGUCAGAGUUUUAACAUCUCAACCAAGCCACAUGGAUACUAUUUCCUCAGAAAAGACAAAAUUGAUCCAAGCAGAAGAGUGAACUCACCGAAGAGGACUCUCUACCCAUAACUGGGGAUGCCUCAGCCACUCACACUUACUCCAAGAUUAGUGUCACUGAUUAUGGAAAGAAUUGACUUCUUCCCCUGGUCUUGCUCAUUUUUCUAGAGCCCAGGACAAUAAAUGUGUUUUACGGCAGAGAAAAGUGAAGACGGGUGGAAUUGUGUGUGUUGAGAGAGAAGCAGAUAGGCAAUCUUACGCUUUGGCUCCUAG